rnacentral:rRNA from 1 species
GAUGAACGCUGGCGGCGUGCUUAACACAUGCAAGUCGAACGGAAAGGCUCCUGCUUGCAGGGGUGCUCGAGUGGCGAACGGGUGAGUAACACGUGGGUGAUCUGCCCUGCACUUCGGGAUAAGCCUGGGAAACUGGGUCUAAUACCGGAUAGGACCAUCGUUUAGUGUCGGUGGUGGAAAGUUUUUUCGGUGUGGGAUGAGCUCGCGGCCUAUCAGCUUGUUGGUGGGGUAAUGGCCUACCAAGGCGUCGACGGGUAGCCGGCCUGAGAGGGUGUACGGCCACAUUGGGACUGAGAUACGGCCCAGACUCCUACGGGAGGCAGCAGUGGGGAAUAUUGCACAAUGGGCGCAAGCCUGAUGCAGCGACGCCGCGUGGGGGAUGACGGCCUUCGGGUUGUAAACUCCUUUCGCCAGGGACGAAGCGAAAGUGACGGUACCUGGAUAAGAAGCACCGGCUAACUACGUG